AUACGUAGGUGACAAGCGUUAUCCGGAUUUACUGGGCGUAAAGGGCGUGUCGGCGGUCUUGCAAGUCAGAAGUGAAAUUCCUGAGCUCAACUCGGGCGCUGCUUCUGAAACUGCAGGACUUGAGUGCUGGAGGGGAUAGCGGAAUUCCUAGUGGAGCGGUAAAAUGCGCAGAUAUUAGGAAGAACACCGGUGGCGUAGGCGGCUAUCAGGGCAGUAGGAGCCACUGCGGCCCGAAAGCGUGGGGAGCAAACAGGAUUAGAUACCCUGUUAGUCCACGCCGUAAACGAUGAAUACUAGGUGUAGGGAGUAUCGACUCCCUCUGUGCCGCAGUUAACACAAUAAGCAUUCCGCCUGGGGAGUACGGCCGCAAGGUUGAAACUCAAAGGAAUUGACGGGU
rnacentral:rRNA from 1 species